rnacentral:lncRNA from 1 species
GGUGCAGAGGAGCGGGGGAGCAAAGUGGGGCUCUGCACACUGUUGGUGCACGGAGGAUGCGGGCUCUGAGCAACAAAUCACCGACAUCCAUGGGCAGGGGCACAGCUGCACCACGAAGCCUUUAACACGUCCUUCCUCCAUAAAACAAACAACCCGUCGCUAACUGGAAGUCACGCCGUUCUUACUUGGAGCCACGUGCUGAACGGACGGGCGCUGGGGCUGAGAUAAUGGUGACCCUUUGUGCGCGGAGCUGACGGAUGCAUCGCGCCCUGCGCGGAGCUCACCUCGCACCCGCAGUAAAUCAGCGGCGCUGAGCUCAGUGCUCCACGUGCACGUGGCCGUGGUGCAGAGCUGGGGAUCUUCUGGAUCGAUACGGCAAGUGCAUCGAGACUGUAGCAACACAUUUAAAACCUUAUAAAAGGUUAUUUAGUUGCUAACGGUGCAGCAGUUUCUGCAAAGCCUGCCAAAAGGUUACAGCUUUUUGGGCAUCAUAAAUUACGGACGACGGGGAAAAAAACUGCCCAACCUGUUCGUCCUGCUCUCCUGCUUGCAGGGAGGUGAGCACUUCCCAUGCGCUGCCCGUGGGGCUGGAGGGGGACAGUGCUGGAUUGGGACAGCAGCGCGCAGUGUUGGCACGUGGAUGAAGGGGGCUGACAGCGCUGUGCAGCUCUCCC